CUCUAGCUUUAUAGCGUAGCGUUGGGACGGUUGUCUCCUCCUUUGCACAACUGGAAUUUCAGCAGUGAGAGGGACAAGGUCUUCAGGCUCCCAGAUGGACCUGCCUGGAGUGGUUUCCUUCUUCCUGGCUUUCUGCAUUGCAGGCCUCCUCAUCCUGCUUCUCUGGAGAAGACCCAGCAGCAGGGCUGAACUGCCCCCCGGCCCCACCCCCCUGCCUUUGGUGGGCAACUUGUUCCAAGUCAACGUUCAGAAUAUCAUCCAGUCCUUGUUUCGGCUCCAAGAGCAGUACGGUCCCGUUUUCACAAUCUACACGGGCUCCCAGCCAACUGUGGUGCUUUGUGGCUAUCAAGCAGUGAAGGAAGCGCUUGUGGAUCAUGCUGAAAAUUUUAGUGGGAGGGCACCAAUGCCAAUUCUGGACAAGAAGUUCUCAGAUUAUGGAGUGGUUUUCACCAAUGGGGAGCGGUGGAGGCAACUCCGUCGGUUCUCCCUUAUGACUCUGAGGAACUUUGGAAUGGGGAAGAGAUCCAUAGAGGAACGGAUCCAGGAGGAAGUUCAGUUCUUGGUGGAAGAACUAAAGAAAACAGAAGGGCAUUUCUUUGACCCCACUGUUCCCCUCAGCCAUGUCACCUCCAACGUCAUCUGCUCCGUUGUGUUUGGCAACCGGUUUGAAUACGAGGACAAGGAAUUCAUCGCUUUACUUGGCUUGAUCCAAAAAAUCAUAGUUCUUCUGUCCUCCCCUUGGGCCCAGCUAUCCAAUUAUUCCCCACGCCUGAUGCAAAUGUUUCCCAGCCCACUUCGCAAAUUAGCUGUCUACAUGGAUGAGUUAAAAGACUUCAUCUCUCGGAGGAUACAAACGCACCGAGACUCGUUCGAUCCCAACUGCCCUAGAGAUUUCAUUGACUGUUUCCUCACCAAAAUGGAGCAGGAGAGAGAGAACCCCGCUUCUGAAUUCCUGGAGGAGAACCUGACGGUGACUGUUCUCAACCUGUUCUUUGCGGGGACAGUUUCGGUUAGCAGCACCAUGCAGUACGGGAUUCUCCUCCUCCUCCGAUACCCAGAGAUAGAAGCAAAAAUCCAGGCAGAGAUCGACCAGGUCAUUGGGAGGUCCCGAAGCCCCUCCAUGGAGGACCGGACCAAGAUGCCCUACACAGAUGCCGUCAUCCAUGAAAUCGUGCGGUUUGCAGAUUUCUCCCCUGUGGGGGUCCCUCAUGUAGUGACAAGUGACACGCACUUCCGAGGAUACAUCAUUCCCAAGGGCACCACCGUCUUGACUUUCCUGACCUCUGUGCUACAAGACCCCCAGCAUUUCGAGACGCCCAGGAAAUUCAACCCGGGCCACUUUCUGGAUGAAAAUGGGGCCUUCAAGAAAAGCGAGGCCUUCCUGCCGUUUUCAGCAGGGAAAAGGGUUUGCUUGGGCGAGGCUCUGGCUCGCAUGGAGCUCUUCUUAUUCCUCACCACACUGCUGCAGAACUUCAGCCUGGGAACGCUUCAGGAUCGGGAGGAAAUCAACAUUUUGCCGAUAACAGGAAGUGCUGGGAAAUUUCCUCAGCCCUACCAACUUCGUGUGGUUCCACGGUAACGGGGCUCAGCUGCAAACAAGUGCAGGGGCGCCGGCUCUGCACCUUCCCCCUGUCUCCGCGUUUAAAGUCACGUUGUAAAUCGAAACACAGCAAAGUUGCAUGGCCUAUGAAGUCUGAUCCCUUAAUACUUUCUCAGAACAGUAUGAUUAAUAAAGAGUCUUUGGUGCUUAUAACAACAGAGUGGUUAUCAGACAUUCUCACAUUUUGACGUUACUGUUUUAUUGGUUUCUCACACUCAUGUUACCCAGAUCAAAGGUUUGCUCAAUCUGUUAAUUUUACUAUUCUGUCACUGGAUCUUAAAUUUGUACCAUUUUGCACUCCAAACCACUGCCUACCCGCUAUAUAAAGCUCUGCUCACUGUACCUGAUUCCUCGUCUUAGAGCACACGAAAGCUGACGUUCUGAAUAAAACUUUGUUGGUCUUAAAGGU